rnacentral:rRNA from 1 species
UACGAAGGGGCUAGCGUUGCUCGGAAUCACUGGGCGUAAAGCGUGCGUAGGUGGAUUGUUAAGUGCGAUGCGAAAUCCUGUGGCUCAACCAUAUGGACUGUAUCGCAUACUGGCUAUCUAGAGGACAUGAGAGGCAAGUGGAAUUACUGGUGUAGCAGUGAAAUGCGUAGAUAUCAGGAGGAACACCGGUGGUGUAAACGGCUUUCUGGACCAUAACUGACGCUGAGGCACGAAAGCGUGGGUAGCAAACAGG